GACGAACGCUGGCGGCGUGCUUAACACAUGCAAGUCGAACGGAAAGGCCUCUUUCGGGGGGUACUCGAGUGGCGAACGGGUGAGUAACACGUGAGUAACCUGCCCUUGACUUUGGGAUAACUUCAGGAAACUGGGGCUAAUACCGGAUAGGAGCUCCUGCUGCAUGGUGGGGGUUGGAAAGUUUCGGCGGUUGGGGAUGGACUCGCGGCUUAUCAGCUUGUUGGUGGGGUAGUGGCUUACCAAGGCUUUGACGGGUAGCCGGCCUGAGAGGGUGACCGGCCACAGUGGGACUGAGAUACGGCCCAGACUCCGACGGGAGGCAGCAGUGGGGAAUAUUGCACAAUGGGUGGAAGCCUGAUGCAGCAACGCCGUGUGCGGGAGGACGGCCUUCGGGUUGUAAACCGCUUUCGCUCAUGACGAAGCUUUGUGUGACGGUAGUGGGUAAAGAAGCACCGGCUAACUACGUG
rnacentral:rRNA from 1 species